rnacentral:lncRNA from 1 species
AUUACAAUUCCUACUCUAUCUUAAAUAUGCCAUUUUCUACGCCGUAAACAAUACUGGACCCACAUGCAGUCCACUGUAUUUCCGUAUCGUCCGAAAUGCCCCUAUCUCAACAUCUCUGACACGUGGGCCUGUCUUUCCUUUCUUCUCCUCCUCGACGGACUUGAGCCCCGAUGCCGCCGGCCAGCUACGUCGCUCCGUCAUCCCCUUCCCACGCUUCAACACACUUUCCUCUCUUCUUCUACCACUCAGCGCACGCCCCACGCACCCAGCUGGAGCGUGAGAGGAGGAGGAGGGGGAGGAGUGGUGCUCGCUCGCGCUUGAGGGCAGAGCGGCGCUGACAGUGUGUGUACCGUCGGCAAGCGCCGCUUGUUGAGGGGGGAGGCGGGGAGACGGUGGUGUGGUGCUGCGGCGGCGGAAGGUAGAAGCGGCGCGGCACGCUCGCCAGAUCUACGGCCCCGCCGGAGAGGGGCGGCCAUUCCCGUCGGGGGGAAGCGAGGACUCACGGAGCGGGGGCGAUCUCCGACGCCUCGAUGUAGUACAGGCGUAUGACGAAGCUCCCAUCGAUCGUCAAGACGUUGACCUGCCGCUCGCCGAUCGACGGGGUGAACGCCUUGUCGAGGGAGACGCGGUACGACGGCGGACGGGCAGAACACGGAGCGGUCGUUGUUCGGCCUGGCUCCGGCGGCGAGCUCACCUGAUGUAUAAUCUUGUAGCUAACUUGUUUUUGCUUUAGUCAAAUAAGUAAGCUUGACUUGCGCUGUGUUCGCAAGAAAGUUUCAGAACGUAGAAUUAGUCCGUCAGUCUUAGUUUUGUUUCUGUUUUUCGGUGAUUAAGUCGUAGCUGAAGUUCUGCGAGGAUCGACCGUGGGAUGGCGCGGUCCAGUCAGAUCUGAGUGGGAUUUUUGGAAGUUUUAGUUGUAACUAACUCCUGGAGUUUGGAGUAUUAAUAACAACAGCAAGAUGAACCAAAAAGUUGCCACUUACGCAGCACAAAAUUUUCUGUGUGUCAUCGUUGUAUGUUCUUCGGUUACUGUUCCAAAACUUUCAAUCUUCAGAAAGCAGAGGACCAGAGCAGCAGCUGAUAGGUUAGACACAUGAAAAUUACAACAAUCCCGGACCCGGACCGCGCGAGCUCGGACCACGCGCUGACGAGCAAGCUGAGGCCGCUCCCGUCCACCACGACGUGGUUGGUGCCCCACGCCACGGUGAAGCCGCCGCAGGGGAACGACACCACCUGCACCGACAGCGCCACGUCGCCGGCGUAGGG